GAUCAAAAUACAUAAAUUAACAAGUUUAAUUUCUUCAGUAAGUUUAAGGAGUUUCAGGCUUAAUGGGGUUGCCAAUGUUAUGAUGAUGUAGUGGAUCUGGACCUGUAGGAACCUUCCUCAACUCUCCAAUCAAUGAUUUUUCAUCAUACUUGAUCCUUGUUGAAGAUCCUUUGAGAUUAACCAUUAAACUUGAUUUUUUAUCC
rnacentral:lncRNA from 1 species